ACUCACUAAUAUACACCACUUGAACUCUAACGUGUACGCAACGGGCAUCUGCAUAUCGUUCGUGGAAGGAGCGCAAACGCCCAUCAUAAACAUCUAUCUAUCCAUUAACAAGCCCGCUCAAUUUGGUGCUCUUAUUCCCUCGAGGCAGAGCUGGUUUAGAAACAGAACUACGGACGAGUUCACUUCUACUUUUCGCAGGAUUUGAGUUGCAGAGAAAUGGUGUUGUGCUAUCCAUCAACACCAAAGAAAUUGGCAAUGACAGUAGGAUGCUUCGUUGCUGGAGCAGCCCUCUUUGCUGUUGGCUUACAUCUCUCCUACGUCUACGUUGCUCCUCAACAAGCACGCAUCAAAGCUCGAAAUGAUUUUGUCAAAGAACGAUUGAGAAAGAAACGUAGCAAUGGCUAGAAGUAGAACCAUGGUUGCUGGCUUGCUUCUCAGUCUGUUACCGUGUCGGUGGAACUUCUUUAAUGCCUAUUGUUCACUUCUGUCGUAAGAGUUCUAUGUUCAAAUGCCAAUAAGGUAAACUGAUAAAAUCUCUUGAUGGUUGAUUCAGCAAUGCUGUGAAUAUUACUGUGGUUUCGGCAUUGAAAGCAAGGUUAUAUUUUAAAUCCAAAUACUUAAUAAAUGGCGACUUUUGACUGUUCA